rnacentral:rRNA from 1 species
GCUUACGGCCAUACCACGCUGUCUGCGCCCGAUCUUGGAAGCUAAGCAGCGUUGGGCCUGAUUAGUACUUGGAUGGGAGACCGCCUGGGAAUACCAGGUGCUGUAAGCU